rnacentral:rRNA from 1 species
UGCGGUGAUGAUGGCACGAAGGAUACACCUGUUCCCAUUCCGAACACAGAAGUUAAGCUUCGUAACGCCGAGAGUAGUUAGAGGAA